rnacentral:rRNA from 1 species
UACACAUGCAAGUCGAACGAUGAUGCCCAGUCUUGCUGGGUGGAUUAGUGGCGAACGGGUGAGUAACACGUGAGUAACCUGCCCCUGAACUCUGGGAUAAGCGUUGGAAACGACGUCUAAUACUGGAUAUGAUCACUGGCCGCAUGGUCUGGUGGUGGAAAGAUUCUCUGGUUGGGGAUGGACUCUCGGCCUAUCAGCUUGUUGGUGAGGUAAUGGCUCACCAAGGCGACGACGGGUAGCCGGCCUGAGAGGGUGACCGGCCACACUGGGACUGAUACACGGCCCACACUCCUACGGGAGGCAGCAGUGGGGAAUAUUGCACAAUGGGCGACAGCCUGAUGCAGCAACGCCGCGUGAGGGAUGACGGCCUUCGGGUUGUAAACCUCUUUUAGUACGGAAGAAGCGAAAGUGACGGUACCUGCAGAAAAAGCACCGGCUAACUAC